rnacentral:ncRNA from 1 species
GGAAGCUGGGUGCGGUGAAAGUUGCACGCCCAGAUUUAACAGAGAGGAGCGCGGGAUAAUACCCGCCUUCGACUCUAC